rnacentral:lncRNA from 1 species
UCUUAGUAACAUUACUGUGCUGGAAAUGCUUACGCUCUGCUUCUUGUUAUUCUAUUUUAUGGUGAUUAUUUCUGAGUUCCAGCCCUUUCACUUUACAUCAUGGAACCAUGAACAUCGAGUGAGGCAUACAGAACAGGUCUUCAGCUUGUUCCACUUGAGAAUGCUAUACAUCAACAAAGAAAUUUCAUUAGUUCAUCAGGCCUGAGCAUAGCAAGGGUGGUAAAAAAGAAGAAUUCACACAAGGCAUUCUGGGCUGUGCUGAAUAACCACACCACUUAAUUUGCACCACAACCCCAGAUCCCUCCCUCACCAAAUACCUUUGGAAAUACAACUGAAUGGAUGAAAAUGGAUGAAGCAGAAAGAUGUAUUCCUCCUUUCCUUAGACUCAAACAAGCAAAUAUCACUGGGUUAGAAAUCCUCCUUACACAGGAGUCUGUGCCAGCAGCAAGAGUUUUGCCAUUCAUAAUGAUCGCAUCAAGUUGCACAUAACCAGCAGCACUCAGUACAGAACCAUGACCUGCAGGAAACCAUUCCAUUUGUAAAAGGUCAAACAUUCUUAGCCGUAAGCUUUUGAAAUGAAGCAGAGAAAACAAUUUCAGAGCUAUUUACUACCCAGUUCUCUGACAGCUUUUGUCCUAGCUUCCUGUAAGAGAUAUUUGCUUUUAUAGUCACAAUCCUUUAAGUAAAUAUGAUGCUUGUGGCUACAAAAAAAGCAUUUGAUUGUUUUCUUUGAGUCAUAAAGCUUUUAUCUUGCUUCUAAAAUCAUAAAGUCUGCCUGGCAAUGCUUUUAUUUUUUUUAUUUUUUACUUUUUUUUA